CUACAUUCUUAGCUAUAUAAUAUUUCAUCUUCAUCGUGUAAAUAUGUACCUAUGUUUGUAUGUACGUGUUAUGCAAAUAUGUAUUUUGUAGUCUUAUUGUAUUAGUCCUGCGUUAUAAUAUUCAUUGAAAUCAGGUCGUCAUGAUUAUAUGAUGUCAAAUUUAAUUUAACUCCGUCAAAGACAGCAUUUAAAUUAAAAAGUAAAAUUUAAUAUAAAAGUGCGCAGUAUAUGUAAUUGUAAUAAAAUAUUCAUUUGGUUCAAUUAUAAACUACCUAAUUUUAUUUUGGAUUAUUUUAAGUAACAUGCAUCAAAUUAGUUUCUCCCAAAAAUUAAAUUGUACAAUAAUUAAUAAAAAUUAUAUUACAAUGUAAAAGAAGUACUAAUGUUUUUAUGAAGAAAUUAUGUACAAACUUAUAUUAUUUAUAUUAUUAAACUUAUAUCGUUAUACUAUUGUAAACAACUAUGUGCUUAAAUAUUUUAUUAUCCAAUAAAUGAUUACAAUCAGUUAUAAAAAUUUAUAGAA